AUUGAACGCUGGCGGCAGGCCUAACACAUGCCAGUCGAGCGGAUGAAGGGAGCUUGCUCCUGGAUUCAGCGGCGGACGGGUGAGUAAUGCCUAGGAAUCUGCCUGGUAGUGGGGGAUAACGUCCGGAAACGGGCGCUAAUACCGCAUACGUCCUGAGGGAGAAAGUGGGGGAUCUUCGGACCUCACGCUAUCAGAUGAGCCUAGGUCGGAUUAGCUAGUUGGUGGGGUAAAGGCCUACCAAGGCGACGAUCCGUAACUGGUCUGAGAGGAUGAUCAGUCACACUGGAACUGAGACCCGGUCCAGACCCCUACGGGAGGCAGCAGUGGGGAAAAUUGGCCAAGGGGCGAAAGCCUGAUCCAGCCAGGCCGCGUGUGUGAAGAAGGUCUUCGGAUUGUAAAGCACUUUAAGUUGGGAGGAAGGGCAGUAAGUUAAAACCUUGCUGUUUGACGUUACCAACAGAAUAAGCACCGGCUAACUUCGUG
rnacentral:rRNA from 1 species